rnacentral:rRNA from 1 species
UACGUAGGGUGCGAGCGUUAAUCGGAAUUACUGGGCGUAAAGCGUGCGCAGGCGGUUCGUUGUGUCGGCGGUGAAAGCCCCGGGCUUAACCUGGGAAUGGCCGUUGAAACUGGCGAACUGGAGUGCGGCAGAGGGGGAUGGAAUUCCGCGUGUAGCAGUGAAAUGCGUAGAUAUGCGGAGGAACACCGAUGGCGAAGGCAAUCCCCUGGGCCUGCACUGACGCUCAUGCACGAAAGCGUGGGGAGCAAACAGG